rnacentral:lncRNA from 1 species
GGGCUUUGAAGUGGAAAAGGAGUGGGUGGUAGGGGGGGUGUGUGGCUUUAGGGUCUCUGGCUUAGGAAGCUGAGUCUCCGUAGUGCCAUUCAUACAGAUGGAAUGAGGGAAGAAGCAGUUUCAUGGGAAAGUAGUAAAUUUGAUUGAGUAACAAGAGCUUGGGGGAUCCAGAAGAGAGCUAGGUUUGCAGUUCAGGAGUCCAGGAGAGAGUCAAACUGAAAACAUAAGCCCAUGGAUAGUCAGUCAUUGAAGCCAUGGGAAUGAAGAUCACCUAUGGGAAACACAGAUAGAAGCGAAUGUUACCACAGUGAAGUGUGGUCUAUACAAUUAAUUGCUGCAAAGAGGUCAGGGCACCACAAUCAAUCAUUCAUCAAAAAUAACAGGCAGCAAAGGACUGAGAAUAGAGUGAUCUGUGAUAUCUUCCCACUAAUCCCAAGUCAGGAGAGAGAGAGAAUGAAGAUCCAUUGCUGUAGAGGAACAAACUGAACAUGUUGAAGGUCCCGCAAGGCCAGUGUGGCUGGAAUGCAGACACAAAGCCAGGAGGAACAAGAGAUGGGGCUGACAAGAGAGGCAGGAGUCAGAUCUCAUGGGAACUGUCACCUGCAGGUAAGAGGUUUGGACUUCAUCCCACAUGCGAUAAGAAGCCAUUGUUGGUGUUUUAAGCUGGCA